UGGGAAUUAGGCAGCAGGCCUGUUAUGAGACACUGUGAUUUUCUGACUUGUCCAGGAUUCAACCAGAAUCUCAGGCACAUAUAUUACAGAAUCGUUCAGAGAAAUCUACCAGCAGCUCUCUGUAAAUAGGCCGACUGAAGAAGCCGCCGAGUGUGACAGGCGGGGAAACGCGUCUUGGUUUUACCUACCUAUAAGCAGCUACCACGGGUUACCUCAUUGUGCUGGGAAGAAUCUCUAAGGAUCUCCGGAUAAGGCUUGCAAAAAGGCAUUUGAGCACCAGAGCCGGGAGUGAGUAAAGAAUUUCGACCCAGGAGGAAAAGUGGUAACUUUUUUUCAUAUAACAUGGCCAUGUUUUAAAUACCAGCUGAGGUGCAUGAACUUGUAUCAUCGCUUUAAGCAAAAGUAAUUUUAUACCUUUGCACGUUAAUCUAUCAGCAAGUAAUUGGCUGCUGCCAUAUACUGAAUCAGUUAAACAACAGCUGAGCUGUAUGAACUUUCAUUUCUGUUCUGAGGAAAAGCAUGUAUCUUUCUCUGCAGAUCAAUUUAUGAACAACUAACCCACUGCUGCUAUUUAAUUAGUGACACUUUCUAAGCAAAAAGGAGCAGCUUUUAUACACUAAUCCAUCUGGAAGUUUAAAGUGUCGUGGUCAGUAAAGUGUGGUUUUGGGAACUUAAUUUAACACCUUUAAUAAUAAAGAAGGAAUUGGAACAGCUAUCUUCCAGUAUAGCAACAAAGUAUAAAAGUCUCUGACUCAUGCUGAAUUAGCAACUAAAUAUCAAUUUAGAGGUUGGAGUCCCUUUUUUCAGUAUUGGAAGGAAAACAUUUGUUGCACUUGUAUCCAAUUGUUUCAGUGAUGCAUUGAAGAAUGAAUUACAUAGAGCAGAGCUAUUGUAUAUAUAUAUGAUUGAUGUGUUAUUGUUUAUUGGCUAGAAUUUUAAUAAAAAUAUAUAUAUAAGCGAAAUGUGGAAUUAGAUUUAUAGGUAGGGGGAAAU